rnacentral:rRNA from 1 species
UAGGGAAUAUUGGUCAAUGGGUGAGAGCCUGAACCAGCCAUGCCGCGUGCAGGAAGAAGGCCUUCUGGGUUGUAAACUGCUUUUGCCAGGGGAUAAAAAUACCUUGCGAGGUAAAUUGAAGGUACCUGGUGAAUAAGCCACGGCUAACUACGUGCCAGCAGCCGCGGUAAUACGUAGGUGGCAAGCGUUGUCCGGAUUUAUUGGGUUUAAAGGGUGCGUAGGCGGCCCUGUAAGUCAGUGCUGAAAUAUCCCAGCUUAACUGGGAGGGUGGCAUUGAUACUGCGGGGCUAGAGUACAGAUGAGGUAGGCGGAAUUGACGGUGUAGCGGUGAAAUGCUUAGAUAUCGUCAAGAACACCUAUAGCGAAGGCAGCUUACUAGGCUGUAACUGACGCUGAGGCACGAAAGUGUGGGGAUCAAACA